AUUGAACGCUGGCGGCAGGCCUAACACAUGCAAGUCGAGCGGAUGAAGGGAGCUUGCUCCUGGAUUCAGCGGCGGACGGGUGAGUAAUGCCUAGGAAUCUGCCUGGUAGUGGGGGAUAACGUCCGGAAACGGGCGCUAAUACCGCAUACGUCCUGAGGGAGAAAGUGGGGGAUCUUCGGACCUCACGCUAUCAGAUGAGCCUAGUUCGGAUUAGCUAGUUGGUGGGGUAAAGGCCUACCAAGGCGACGAUCCGUAACUGGUCUGAGAGGAUGAUCAGUCACACUGGAACUGAGACACGGUCCAGACUCCUACGGGAGGCAGCAGUGGGGAAUAUUGGACAAUGGGCGAAAGCCUGAUCCAGCCAUGCCGCGUGUGUGAAGAAGGUCUUCGGAUUGUAAAGCACUUUAAGUUGGGAGGAAGGGAAGUAAGUUAAUACCUUGAUGUUUUGACGUUACCAAAAGAAUAAGCACCGGCUAACUUCGUG
rnacentral:rRNA from 1 species